rnacentral:rRNA from 1 species
UGCCAGCAGCCGCGGUAAAACCAGCACCUCAAGUGGUCAGGAUGAUUAUUGGGCCUAAAGCAUCCGUAGCCUGUUCUGUAAGUUUUCGGUUAAAUCUAUGCGCUCAACGUAUAGGCUGCCGAAAAUACUGCAGAACUAGGGAGUGGGAGAGGUAGACGGUACUCGGUAGGAAGGGGUAAAAUCCUUUGAUCUAUUGAUGACCACCUGUGGCGAAGGCGGUCUACCAGAACACGUUCGACGGUGAGGGAUGAAAGCUGGGGGAGCAAACCGGAUUAGAUA